UUUAUAUUGCUCUAUGGUUUCAAGGGUGAUUACUUUUUCUUGUUUCUUUUCAAAUUUUCACCCUUUCAUAAGAAACUCACUUUUCCAAGUUUCUAAUCACUUCUCAUUUUACUCUCCCCAACUUUAGAUUCCAAAACCAAAAUUAUUCAAUAAUGCUCCCUACUUAGACACAAGCAAAAGGCAAAAUUUCGCAAACAACUUGGUUUGAGGUUUCAAC
rnacentral:lncRNA from 1 species